rnacentral:rRNA from 1 species
GGGGGUACGUCCGGAACGGGCGCUAAUACCGCAUACGUCCUGAGGGAGAAAGUGGGGGAUCUUCGGACCUCACGCUAUCAGAUGAGCCUAGGUCGGAUUAGCUAGUUGGUGGGGUAAAGGCCUACCAAGGCGACGAUCCGUAACUGGUCUGAGAGGAUGAUCAGUCACACUGGAACUGAGACACGGUCCAGACUCCUACGGGAGGCAGCAGUGGGGAAUAUUGGACAAUGGGCGAAAGCCUGAUCCAGCCAUGCCGCGUGUGUGAAGAAGGUCUUCGGAUUGUAAAGCACUUUAAGUUGGGAGGAAGGGCAGUAAGUUAAUACCUUGCUGUUUUGACGUUACCAACAGAAUAAGCACCGGCUAACUUCGUGCCAGCAGCCGCGGUAAUACGAAGGGUGCAAGCGUUAAUCGGAAUUACUGGGCGUAAAGCGCGCGUAGGUGGUUCAGCAAGUUGGGAUGUGAAAACCCCGGGG